UUGCUGGUCGUGUGCGUCUGGCGUGGGACAGUCGUGGCCGAGGAGACUGCGCGUGACUUUGUUUCUCUUCCCUCUCCGGUGGACUGCAUAACCUUCGCAUUUACUGCUGUGGUCGCAGCUCGGAGAUGUAAUUCGAAGCACCGUUGCUUGAAAACGCUCAGCGAUGUGGUGUUGUGGAUCACGGAAGAUUUUAAAACUAACCUAACGGUUUUGGAUCUGUAGCUAUCAUAUUUUGUGUAUCAGUUUCUACCGUGAUAUGCACGUGUGAAAUUGUUAGUGUGUUUGCCUUGGAAGGACAGAGUUCACUCACUGUUGCUACAGCUUUCUUGCGCACAGUCGCAUGUUAGUUUGAUGAGUAAACUGCAGUGUAUAGAAAUGUGCGGUGGUAUGUGCUGGACCUUUUGCGACGUCAGUGUAUGAGCAUAACCUCGAGGGUGACGUCUUGUGACAUCUCCGACGUACCGAGGAUGCAUAUCGUACAGUAGGCGUGUAACAGUUGUAGUGCACGCAAAGUGGAACUUCCUCUACAAGGUUGGUAGAAACAGAAUUACGUACAUAAGGAACUGCCUGGACUCUCAACAGCGUAGCAGCUUCUCGGCGUGAAGGGCGGAGCACAGCUUACCGGAGAAAGGCGGAGCACGAGAGGAGGACACCGCUGCUGCCGACACACCCAUGGAAGCGCACCUGCGGCUCCACUGAAACUCGCAGCCAGUGUGAGGCUACCGGACUGGGUGCGGGGCGAUGCUGAUUGAACCGGAGGGGCGCCCAGCAGUGAGUGACGAGAGCGCGGUCCCCGGCAGCGGCGACAGGG